AUUACGGCGGCCAGAGCGGU
rnacentral:rRNA from 1 species